rnacentral:RNase_P_RNA from 1 species
GGCGCAGGCUGAAUGGUCGCGUUGGUUCAUAGGCCUAUUGCCAGAGAUCCUUCGGCGUUUCGCGCCUCAGGAUCAUCGGCAUAAGUUUAGGUACUAGGGCCGAUGAGGAAAGUCCGGGCUCCACAGGGCAGCGUAGCGGGUAAUACCCGUCCCCCUCGUCGCUUAAUCGCAAGAUGAAAGCGACUCGGGGCGGAUUAGAGCCACAGAGACGAGUCAAAUUUUGUGGAGCAAAAUUUGCUCCUGAAGAGGUAACGGAUAUAAGCCUCUGAAGGAUCUUGAGGUAUUUCGACAGCUAAGAUGCUUGCACUUGCUCGCAUCUUGUAACGCUGUCUCAAUACCAAAUUUGCUUCGCAAAUUUGGGUGAAACGCGGCAAUCUCUACGUGGAGCAAAACCAAAUAGGCCUCGCUGAUAAGAAUGGCCCGUUCGAAGAAUGUGAGGCGGGUAGGUUGCGUGAUCCUCGCAGCAAUGCCAGGACCAGAUAGAUGACCGUUGCGGUCAGCGCGAAGGCAUAUCCCUCAGAUGCUCCUGUUUGUCGCAUCUUCGGGAUCAAUCAGCGCUUCGCGCUGAUUGACAGAACCCGGCUUACAGGCCUGCGCCUUAU